AACCGAAUGACGGGGAGGAAAAAAAUCAACUAUUUUUUUUUUUCGCGUAUUAUUAUUAUUAAUGGGAUGUUUAUUUAAAAAAAAAAAAAUAAAAAAAAAAUAAAAAGGUGCAUGGUAGAAAAAGCGUUAAGUAUUAGCCUUUUAAAGAAAACAAUUUAUAUGUGUACGUAAAUAUACCACGGUGUUUGUACUUGUAGGCGCCCCGUAAAAUAUCAUAAUAACAAUAGUUUUAGCGGUU